rnacentral:sRNA from 1 species
AAUAAUUAGUACAGUCAAACUUUGUUAUCUUGAACUCGAUGGGACUGUUUGAUAACUUCGAGAUAUUGAGGGUAAAAUACAUAAAAAAUAAGUAGUUGGGAGUUACAAAUCACCUUUUUAUAUCCAUUUUAUUCGAGAUAUCGAUCAGUGUUCCAGAUAUCGAGGUUCAACUGUAUUUAAAUAUCAUAGGAGUAUUCAGGGAAUUAACUAGACGGCAAGGCUGUUUAUUGAAAAAAAAAAUUAUUUACUAUUUAAUGGUGAAUGUACAUGUACAUAUACUACCUGUGACAUUUUUUCAUCAGAAAUUUAAUGUGAUUUUAAUAUAGUAUAUUUGAGUAUAAAGUAGACACUAGUAAUUUUUGUUUUUUCCCCAAAUGAGACAGUGCUGGAUUUGUUGAAAAAAUUAUUACCAUGCAUUGCUGUGUUAGAACCAUUUUAACAAGAGCUUGAACUUUGGGUAGUUGUGUCAAACGGCAAUGUGACGUAGGCCUGUCUAUUUCAUUGUAUGACACUAAGCCAUGGCUUUUUGAAAUCAACAAGAUUUGUCUGGCUUUUGAGCUAAGACUACGCAAUCGUUGUACUUUUCGUUUGAAACCAGCGUCAUUUUAACUAAUAUGUCCUGACACAAGAAUAGUCACGUCCUUCUGAAAGUCAAAUGCCUUGUUAAAAUGGUUUUAAUAUAUUUCAUUGUAACAUUUACUUUCUUUCAUUUUUCAAUGUGUAUAAAUUGUAUGGUAUGUAUGCGUGCUGCUUUAUUAUUUUUUUCGUUAUAUUGCUUUGAAGGCUAUGGUAUGUUUAAUGAUUACAUUUGCUUGCACCAAAAGCUUCUGUUAUACUAAUUUGUAGGUAAUCAAUGCAAUGUGUAGAUCAAUUCAGUUUGAAUUUCCUCUUAUAGGAAGUCUAAGCUAGUUAAAUGUGAUUAACUUUGUAAAAUUAAGAUAAAAUGGAGCCAUCUUUCAUUUACUCGUAAUAGGCACAGUAUAAACAUCACUGAUAUGCUGCAUUCAUUCAUCACUUAAAAAUUUUGUGCUUAAUUUAUUGUGUGAAGUUUAUUUAGCAAUAAAUUAAAUGUAAAUUUGUUUAUCUUUCUAAAAGUAAAUAAACAGUGACCUCAUGAUCUGUGUAAACAAGAAUAUGUAGCUGCAUGGUGAGGGCAUAUCAUUGCGAUAGUAUGUCUUUGAUGCUGUUCUUUCUAUCGAUCAUACGGUACUUAAGGGCAUACACAUUGUCCUGUCCAAGUGUUUGUUGACUGGUUGUUCUUUUCUGUAGGUGUAUGGAUAUGCAAACAUUUGUUUUUACCUGUAAUUCAGAACCAUUUGGGUUUUUUUUUGUGAUUUUUUAAGGAAUUCAAUAUUUCUAAGAAUGUGUUGCGCAUUGAUUACACUUUAUUAGUAAUAAUGGAGCGUGAUCUUUGCAUGUUUUGAAAAGUAUUGCAAUUUAUUGUUUAAAUUUUUUUUAUCCUAGCUGUUCGAAUUUUUUGUUUGAUAAUGUGGGCUGAUGGUGCAAGAAAUGUAUUACCAAAUUGUAAUAGUUUUGAUAAAUAUAAUGUGAAUUAUAUCAAAGUUAUUAAAAUAUAGUAGAAUUUG